rnacentral:rRNA from 1 species
UACGUAGGGUGCAAGCGUUAAUCGGAAUUACUGGGCGUAAAGCGUGCGCAGGCGGUUGUGCAAGACAGUUGUGAAAUCCCCGGGCUCAACCUGGGAACUGCAUCUGUGACUGCAUCGCUGGAGUGCGGCAGAGGGGGAUGGAAUUCCGCGUGUAGCAGUGAAAUGCGUAGAUAUGCGGAGGAACACCGGUGGCGAAGGCGGCCUGCUGGGCAGUUAGCUGACACUGAGGCGCGACAGCGUGGGGAGCGAACAGG